rnacentral:rRNA from 1 species
UACAGAGGUCUCAAGCGUUUGUUCGGAUUCAUUGGGCGUAAAGGGUGCGUAGGCGGCGCGGUAAGUCGGGUGUGAAAUCUCGGGCUUAACUCCGAAACUGCAUUCGAUACUGCCGUGCUUGAGGACUGGAGAGGAGACUGGAAUUUACGGUGUAGCGGUGAAAUGCGUAGAUAUCGAUAAGGAAGACCAGUGGCGAAGGCGGGUCUCUGGACAGUUCUGACGCUGAGGCACGAAGGCCAGGGGAGCAAACGGG